rnacentral:lncRNA from 1 species
AUGGUUCCCUACAGAAACAGGCCAUCCCCAGUGCAAGCUCCAGUAGGAUCAGGGAGGAAGAGGCAAGGAGGGGGCCGCCCCAUUUCCAAUCACCCAACUUUGCAGCAUUUUCAACACUUCCGAAGGAAGGCUGUUCACGCUGGGCUGGCCGAGACUGGUCGCUGCAGAUUCAGCAGCAAGCAGCUCAGGUUUCUCAGGAAGAGAAAUGUCCAAGCACACAUCUGUCCACACAGAGAUUCUGCACAGCUCGAAUAUCUGAAACCGGUGUACUGCAGAUGGCUGGGACUUUAUUUUUAAGUAACCUCUACACCCAACGUGGGGCUCAAGUUUACAACCCCAAGAUCAAGACUCACGUGCUCUACUGACUGAGCCACCAGGCACCCCUCUACAGUGGUUCUGACACAGAAAGGGAAUGACACAGAAGCAGCAUAGGCAAGCCAGACCCCACUAGAAGCAACGCGUACCAGAGUCACCUUGCACCCAGCUCUUUCCAGAGAAAAGCCAUCUUUCAUUAACUUUGGUGAAGGUUGGUAAUUUGAUUUUGGUGUAUGGUUCAUUUCAAUCUAACUUCUAAAUUUGUUUUGACUUGGUAGUUGUGUAAGAUCUGUAAGUAUAUGCUAUUGUAAAUUUGCAAAGACCUAAUUAUAAUUUUAAAA